rnacentral:rRNA from 1 species
CCUACGGGUGGCAGCAGUGGGGAAUAUUGGGCAAUGGGCGCAAGCCUGACGCAGCAACGCCGCGUGAAGGAAGAAGGCUUUCGGGUUGUAAACUGCUGUUCUGAGGGACGAAGAAAGUGACGGUACCGCAGGAAUAAGCCACGGCUAACUACGUGCCAGCAGCCGCGGUAAUAAGUAGGUGGCAAGCGUUAUCCGGAUUUAAUGGGAGUAAAGGGCGUGUAGGCGGGAAUGCAAGUCAGAUGUGAAAACUCAGGGCUCAACCCUGAGCCUGCAUUGGAAACUGUUUAUCUUGAGUGCGGGAGAGGCAAGCGGAAUUCCAGGUGUAGCGGUGAAAUGCGUAGAUAUACGGAGGAACACCAGUGGCGAAGGCGGAUUGCUGGACAGUAACUGACGCUGAGGCGCGAAAGCGUGGGGAGCAAACAGGAUUAGAUACCCCAGUAGUC